AACAGCUUUCUCCCCAUCAACUUCCAGGACUUGACCACGCCUGGUUGUUCCAUCUCCUAGACGAAUAUUAACAAUCUCCUGAAAUUUAGGUCCCUUGACUUUGUCCAGAAUAACCAAGGGACCAGCAACUCCAGAGACUGUUCUAUAUUCCAUUCCAAUCUCCAGCGUUCCCUCCUCUGCAUCGUGAUUGUUUUGUUCCGCACCCAUACUUCAACCGCUGUAGUGUUUGGCUUCUCCUGAUCUGAUGAUAGAGGAACCGAAGGCGAGGAGAGAUGUGGACAGCAGCGAG
rnacentral:misc_RNA from 1 species